rfam:Asian citrus Psyllid, Diaphorina citri - Florida Strain, whole genome shotgun sequence.
GCCUAGUUAGCUUAGUUGGUAGUGCGUCUGCCUUGUAAGCGCUAGGACGCGGGUUCGAUUCCCGCCCGGGGGA